rnacentral:rRNA from 1 species
CUAAAAAUUCUAGCCUUAUUAAUAUUAACAACAUUUCCAAUACAAAUUAAAAUAUUAUACUAAUUUAGUAAAGAAGAUUAAAAAAUUUACAAGAGCAAUAAACGUACCGCAAGGGAAAAAAUGAAAUAAUAAUGAAAUAACUUCUAAGCCCAAAAAAGUAGAGUUAUACCCUCGUACCUUUUGCAUCAUGGUUUAACCAGUCAAACCAGGCAAAAAGAUUUUCAGUCUGCAACCCCGAAUCUAAGUGAGCUACCCUAGGACAGUUUUAUGAACAAACCCGUCUCUGUUGCAAAAGAGUGGGAAGAUCUUAGAGUAGAGAUGAUAUACCUAACGAACUUAGCGAUAGCUGGUUACUCAGGAAAAGAAUGUCAGUUCAACCUAAAGCUAUUUUUAAUACAACAAAAUAUAGACUUAACUUUAGAGUAAAUCAGAUAGGUAACAGCCUACUUGAAACAGGAUACAGCCUCAAUUUAUGGGUAAUAUAAAUUACUAACAGUCAAGUAGGCCCAAAAGCAGCCAUCUAACAUAAAAGCGUCAAAGCUUAACUACUAAUUAAUAUAAAUUCCUUAAACAAAUUAAAACCCUACCCCGAUACUGAGUAAUUCUAUACCUUUAUAGAAAAUAUAAUGUUAAAACUAGUAACAAGAAGUUAACUUCUCUAAAAUGUAAGUGUAAGUCAGGGCGGACACCACACUGACAAUUAACAACCUUAAACCACAGUAAUAACCUUAUUCAAGAAAACCUUACUAUUACACUUGUUAACCUAACACAAGAACAUUAAAAGAAAGACUAAAAGAAAAAGAAGGAAUUCGGCAAAAACUGAUUCCGCCUGUUUACCAAAAACAUCACCUCUUGACUUAAAGAUAUAAGAGGCUCCGCCUGCCCAGUGACAUAUUUAACGGCCGCGGUAUCCUAACCGCGCGAAGGUAGCGUAAUCACCUGUUUUUUAAUUAAAGACCUGUAUGAAAGGCAUCACGAGAAUCAUACUGUCUCCUUUAUCCAGUCAGUGAAACUAAUCUUCCCGUGAAAAAGCGGGAAUCCUAAUACAAGACGAGAAGACCCUUUGGAGCUUAAGACACAAUUGGUAUACAACUUACUUAUUUUACCCAAUAUACACAUAUACUUGCAUAUUCCAAUGAGUCUUAGGUUGGGGCAACCACGGAGUAAAAACUAACCUCCACGCUGAACGGAAUUUUCCUAAACAAAAAGCCACAACUUUAUGUAUCAAAAAACUGACACUAUUAGACCCAAUAUUUUUUGAUUAACGAACCAAGUUACCCUAGGGAUAACAGCGCAAUCCACUUCAAGAGUUCAUAUCGACAAGUGGGCUUACGACCUCGAUGUUGGAUCAAGGUACCCUAGUGGUGCAGCCGCUACUAAAGGUUCGUUUGUUCAACGAUUAAAACCUCACGUGAUCUGAGUUCAGACCGGAGUAAUCCAGGUCAGUUUCUAUCUGUAACAAGCUUUUUCCAGUACGAAAGGACAGAAAUAGCAUGGCCAAUGUAAUAUAUAUGCCAUACCUAAUAACUUUUGACCCUUCUUAAAAAUUUAUUAAUUUAUCAACUCACUCAAGACAAGAGAA